CCUACGGGGGGCGGCAGUGGGGAAUAUUGGACAAUGGGGGCAACCCUGAUCCAGCCAUGCCGCGUGUGUGAAGAAGGCCCUCGGGUUGUAAAGCACUUUCAGUGAGGAAGAACGCCUGGUGGUUAAUACCCAUCAGGAAAGACAUCACUCACAGAAGAAGCACCGGCUAACUCCGUGCCAGCAGCCGCGGUAAUACGGAGGGUGCGAGCGUUAAUCGGAAUUACUGGGCGUAAAGCGCGCGUAGGUGGCUUGAUAAGCCGGUUGUGAAAGCCCCGGGCUCAACCUGGGAACGGCAUCCGGAACUGUCAAGCUAGAGUGCAGGAGAGGAAGGUAGAAUUCCCGGUGUAGCGGUGAAAUGCGUAGAGAUCGGGAGGAAUACCAGUGGCGAAGGCGGCCUUCUGGACUGACACUGACACUGAGGUGCGAAAGCGUGGGUAGCAAACAGGAUUAGAUACCCCGGUAGUC
rnacentral:rRNA from 1 species